rnacentral:rRNA from 1 species
CCCUAUGGGGUGCAGCAGGCGUUCCUUUUCGUCGUCAUCCGGGGUAAAUCCAUAGACGAUCUUCGAAGCAGGGUUCUGAGGAGCGCAAAGGGCUUCUUUUCCCUUGAGGACAUCAAUUGUCUUCAGAAGCAGGUCCAAUUCCCCGAUUUUGUGAGAGGCGAACAGGACGUAAUCGCCCAUAUCGACAAUAUGUAGUUCCAGCUCUUUGAGGGGCAUGUAAAAACGAUCCGCUCUAUAGCCGCCGAUAAAGGGAGAAGGCAUGCCGAUCAUCUUGCUUGUCUGCUGGUCGGCGGUCAGAUGUUCGUUCAGAUGUUCAGAAGAAUGCCGGGCAAUGAUCUCCUUCACCUUCGGCUUGUCGAAAUUGCCCUUCAGAACCAAAACGCCGUCGGUGGAAGGAAGUGGCGGGGGGGC